AUUGAACGCUGGCGGCAGGCCUAACACAUGCAAGUCGAACGGUAACAGGAAGAAGCUUGCUUCUUUGCUGACGAGUGGCGGACGGGUGAGUAAUGUCUGGGAAACUGCCUGAUGGAGGGGGAUAACUACUGGAAACGGUAGCUAAUACCGCAUAACGUCGCAAGACCAAAGAGGGGGACCUUCGGGCCUCUUGCCAUCGGAUGUGCCCAGAUGGGAUUAGCUAGUAGGUGGGGUAACGGCUCACCUAGGCGACGAUCCCUAGCUGGUCUGAGAGGAUGACCAGCCACACUGGAACUGAGACACGGUCGAGACUCCUACGGGAGGCAGCAGUGGGGAAUAUUGCACAAUGGGCGCAAGCCUGAUGCAGCCAUGCCGCGUGUAUGAAGAAGGCCUUCGGGUUGUAAAGUACUUUCAGCGGGGAGGAAGGGAGUAAAGUUAAUACCUUUGCUCAUUGACGUUACCCGCAGAAGAAGCACCGGCUAACUCCGUG
rnacentral:rRNA from 1 species